UGAGAUAUAGCUCAGUGCUAUAGCAUUUGUCUAACAUGCAUAAGUUGUUGGUUCAAUCCCUAGUAUCAUAU
rnacentral:tRNA from 1 species